rnacentral:rRNA from 1 species
GUGCCAGCCGCCGCGGUAAUACGUAGGGGGCAAGCGUUGUCCGGAUUUAUUGGGCGUAAAGAGCGUGUAGGCGGCUAGAUAGGUCCGUUGUGAAAACUCGAGGCUCAACCUCGAGACGCCGAUGGAAACCAUCCAGCUAGAGUCCGGAAGAGGAGAGUGGAAUUCCCGGUGUAGCGGUGAAAUGCGCAGAUAUCGGGAAGAACACCCGUGGCUAAGGCGGCUCUCUAGUACGGUACUGACGCUGAGACGCGAAAGCGUGGGGAGCGAACAGGAUUAGAUACCCUCGUAGUCC